CAAGGAGUUUAACAUGCGUGCGAGUCGUCGGGACUYGACAAAGCCCACSGGCGCAGCGAAAGCGAGAGAARGUGUCGGGAUCCUCCCCCUUGCGUGGGGAGGCGCACCGACCGCGGCCCCCCCUCCGGGGCGACGGCCGCGAGCACGUACGUUGGGACCCGAAAGAUGGUGAACUAUCCCCGGGCAGGGCGAAGGCGGGGGAAACCCUGCAGGAGGCUCGAAGCGCUUCUGACGUGCAAAUCGAUCGCCAGACCCGGGCAUAGGGGCGAAAGACCAAUCGAACCGUCUGAUAGCUGGUUCCCUCCGAAAUUUCCCUCAGGAUAGCUGGCGCUCGGCGUCCAGUCUCGUCUCGUCGAGCGACUGAUUAGAGGGGAUCGGGGUCUCCAGGGCCUCGACCUAUUCUCAAACUGACAAGAGGCGAAGGGGCCCGCCUUCCUCGUCGGGGAAGGCGGGCACG
rnacentral:rRNA from 1 species